AUUCACGUGACUCCCUUCUUCCAUUUUUAUACAUACACAGCUUCUUCUCCACAAGGGGCCCACAGGGAAAAACAUCAUCAUAAUCUUGAAAAAAAGAAGACGCCAUUUUUGCGACCACUCACGAUUCCCUCACAGAAAACACUCUCCAUCAUCACUCAUCCUCACCAAACACACGUCACUCCUCUCACCAAAUAAAAUCACGGAUUUGGAACAUAUACACCAUUUUUUGGUUCCAAUAUUCCAGGCUCGUAUUCAUUGAAUACAAACAGAGAAGGGGAUGGGGAUUUUGGGCCAUUCACGAGUUCUACCCACACUCUGAAAAUUGCGAGAGAGAGCUGCGAGAGAGGGAGAGUGAGCUGCGAGAGGGAGAGAGAGCUACGAGAGAGAAGUCGGGGUUAACAUUUUCGCCGAGCUGUUCGCCGGAAAACACCACGAUUACCUUAAAAUUGGGUUGUUAUCCAUCUUUCGGCGCUGUCUGAGCUUUCCGAAACUCCGGUCCAUGUUGAAUUUGGUGAAUCGAGGUCUUGGUUCGUGAGCUCCAAAUCCAUCGCUAAGUGUUCGGAAUAAAAUUGAGGAGCCUGCCCGAAGCACGGGGCAAAUAACUGGAAAACCAAGCAACAAGGUGAAGAAAUUAAAAGUUAAACAGAUUGAAAAAUAGCAAGUCAGGAGCCCGCCUGCAGAACAGGGUGAAGAAAUUGAAAGUAUAGCAAAAAGUUGAUUAAAUAGCAAGUCAGGAACCCGCCUGGAGAACAAGGUGUAGAAAUUGAAAGGCAAGCAACAAGUUGAUGAAAUUGUAAGUCAGAAACCCCCUGAAGAACAGGUGAUAAAAUGGCAAGUCAGGAUCCAUCCCGAAGCACAGGGCUAAUAAAUGAAAGUUAAGCAACAAGGUGAAGCAAUUGAUAAUCAGGCAACAAGUAAUGAAAUUGCAAGUCAGGAGCCCUCCUGAAGAAUAGAGUGAUACAACUUAAGUUAGGAGUCCAAUAGAAGCUGCAUAGAUAGGAUUUUGUAAUUUCAUUUAUGUUUUAACUUCUAAUUUUUAUUUUAAUGUAAUGGCAGAUUCGCGGACUGGAACCUCGAUGGAACCUCACUCGACUCUCUAACUCGGUAUAGUCCACCUCCUUCCAGUCUUUUAAGAUACAUGUCACUUGAUUGCCUCAUAACUUGGGUAGGUAGGAUGUCCGUCAAGACUCGGUUGUCAUUCUUUCUUCUGUUUCUUUCUUCUAAUAAUAAUCGGGACAAAAUUCCGUCUUGUCAUCUACUUUUUUUUUGAAAACACUUUGUGUUUACAUUCAAAGGGAGCAUAAUAUAGACACAUAAUUUUAUCCUUUUGAAAAAUUAUUUAUCGCCUAUUUACCUUACUCUACCACGCGCCCUCACCAUAUUCUAAUUUCCCCAUUAAAAGACAAAAUAACAAAUUCCCUAACAAUUCUAUCCUAUCCUGACCCCUUUAUACCUCAUUCUAACAACCUAUCCCACCCAAUACCCCUAACCUCACCUCACCCCAUACCCCCCACAACCCCUACAUACC